ACAUGACCCUGGCAACAUGCAGCUGAUUAGCCUGGCUAGCAUACAGGCAGGUUGAUUAGCCUGGUCUGGUCUAGGCCGAUAGAAUGGGAUGCAGCUCAGCCAUCAAAUCUAUUUAUUUAAUAUUUAAAGUAUUUGUCUCAGGCCAGGUUUGCAACCAAACAAAAAAAAAGUUGUACGUACAGCUGCCUGGCCAGGCAAAAGUCCUCGUAACCAUACAUGAGUCCAAUUGGGAUAGAAGUUCCAAAUUAUCUGCUUUUUGACCAAGAAAAAAGCUUGUCAUAGGCAACAGCCUAAC
rnacentral:lncRNA from 1 species